AUGAUCAUGGCGAAAUUGGUAAACGCGGUUAGUUUAGGUCUAACUCCCUAUGGGUUCGAGUCCCAUUGAUCAUA
rnacentral:tRNA from 1 species